UUUGCAGGAAAGGAGCCGAUCGUUCGUAACUUUAGUGAAUGUUCCCCAGAGGCAGAUGAUUCUCACAAGUCUAUAAGAGAGGUAGAGCUGGUACACCAAAGAAGCUAGCAGUUCCUAACUCUUCAAUGAAACAGGCAUCCAGAAGUGUGUGCUCAACAACCGGGAUCACUAGAUUGUGGCUACUACGUCAUGCGUUUUAUGUACGACAUAAUAAUGAAUCAUGGUAAUAGUCAAGAUCUUACUAAGGAUUUUUCAAGAACAUUGCCUUAUUCACCGGAGGAGAUUAAUGAGGUGAAAGAUUUUUGGGCAG